rnacentral:rRNA from 1 species
UACAGAGGUCUCAACCGUUGUUCGGAUUCAUUGGGCGUAAAGGGUGCGUAGGCGGUCGCGUAAGUCAGGUGUGAAAUCCCGGGGCUCAACCCCGGAACUGCACUUGAUACUGCGUGGCUAGGAUACUGGAGAGGAGACUGGAAUUUACGGUGUAGCAGUGAAAUGCGUAGAUAUCGUAAGGAAGACCAGUGGCGAAGGCGAGUCUCUGGACAGUUAUCGACGCUGAGGCACGAAGGCUAGGGGAGCAAACGGG